rnacentral:rRNA from 1 species
UACGGAGGGUGCGAACGUUAAUCGGAAUCACUGGGCGUAAAGGGCGCGUAGGCGGCCUGCUAAGUCGGAUGUGAAAUCCCUCGGCUCAACCGAGGAACUGCAUCCGAUACUGGCGGGCUUGAAUCCGGGAGAGGGAUGUGGAAUUCCAGGUGUAGCGGUGAAAUGCGUAGAUAUCUGGAGGAACACCGGUGGCGAAGGCGGCAUCCUGGACCGGUAUUGACGCUGAGGCGCGAAAGCUAGGGGAGCAAACGGG